AUGGGAUGCCUUGUCCGGUGUAAGCUAAACGUAGAUGGAACACAGUAUGUGGUCACUGAAUAUUUUGACGAGCACAACCACAAACUCAUAAAGAAGUUCGACCUGGUCAAAUUUCUGACCGCCCACAAAGGAUUCACCCCCCUCGAAAGGAAAUUCAUAAAGCUGCUACAUGAUUGUAACGUCGGUCCAUCAAGAAUGGUCCAGAUACUAUCACUCAUCCACAACAAAAAGGGGACUUUGAGUAGCAUGCCCUACAUACCAGCCGACGUCACAAACCUAAAGGCAAAGUACCAUAGAGAGAGCAAGUUGGCUGACAUAGAGGCCACAAUGGCCUACUUUGAUGAGAAAGCGAAGGAAGAUCCAGAUUUCUUCUACAGGAUAAGGUUGGACGAUGAGGACCGGGUCAGGAACAUGUAUUGGGUGGAUGGUGCUGCAAGGAGAGCCUACAAACAUUUCCGAGAUUGCAUUUCAUUCGACGCGACAUAUCUGACUAAUAUGUACAAGAUGCCAUGCGCUCCAUUCAUAGGAAUAAAUAACCACAACACAGAUGGGUACGUUUGUCUGUUUAAGACCUUCUUGGAGUGCAUGGAUGGACUUGCUCCGAUGAACAUAAUAACAUACCAGGAUUUUAGCAUGCGUGCAUGCAUAGAGGAGGUCUUUCCGUUGGCAGUGCAUAGGCACUGCAGGUGGCACAUUAUAAAGAAGGCUGAGGAAAUGCUAGGACCAUUCUUUGCUACUACGCAGCGCAGCGAGGGGUUCAAUGCUGUUUUGAAGCGGUACGAUGGCAUUGUGUGCUGUCACAUACUAAAAGUAAUGGACAUGAACGCUGUGACACGGAUGCCCCGCCAUUUCAUAAGGCGGCGAUGGACUUGGGACACUGACGACACGUUGGCACCACAGACAAUAAACACAGUUCUGGCUGUGCAUGACGAGAGACCUGAGUCAACCAUGGAAGCCGUGAGGCACGUUGUUGCUAAUUGA
rnacentral:rRNA from 1 species